rnacentral:rRNA from 1 species
AAUCUUGCGCAAUGGGCGAAAGCCUGACGCAGCCAUGCCGCGUGAAUGAUGAAGGUCUUAGGAUUGUAAAAUUCUUUCACCGGGGACGAUAAUGACGGUACCCUGAGAAGAAGACCCGGCUAACUUCGUCCCAGCAGCCGCGGUACUACGAAGGGGGCUAGCGGUGCUCGGAAUUACUGGGUGUAAAGGGCGCGUAGGCGGAUCGUUAAGUCAGAGGUGAAAUCCCAGGGCUCAACCCUGGAACUGCCUUUGAUACUGGCGAUCUUGAGUAUGAGAGAAGUAUGUGGAACUCCGAGUGUAGAGGUGAAAUUCGUAGAUAUUCGGAAGAACACCAGUGGCGAAGGCGACAUACUGGCUCAUUACUGACGCUGAGGCGCGAAAGCGUGGGGAGCAAACAG